GUGUGGCAGCACAUACACUAAAAUUGGAAUGAUACAGAGAAGAUUAGCGUGGUCCCUGCACAAGGAUGACACACAAAUUUGUGAAGCGUUCCAUAUUUUU
rnacentral:snRNA from 1 species